UAUUGAAUUAGUGGAACGCUCUGGGAAGUGCGGCCAUAGUGGGUGAUAGCCCCGUACACGAAGAUUCAAUAGUCACAUAUUAAGUAGGACGGGACACGUGUUAUCUUGUCUGAAGAUGGGGGGACCAUCCUCCAAGGCUAAAUACUCCUGACUGACCGAUAGUGAACCAGUACCGUGAGGGAAAGGCGAAAAGAACCCCUGUGAGGGGAGUGAAAUAGAUCCUGAAACCGUAUGCGUACAAGCAGUGGGAGCAGACUUGUUCUGUGACUGCGUACCUUUUGUAUAAUGGGUCAGCGACUUAAUUUUAGUAGCAAGGUUAACCGUAUAGGGGAGCCGUAGGGAAACCGAGUCUUAAUAGGGCGUUUAGUUGCUGGGAUUAGACCCGAAACCGAGUGAUCUAGCCAUGAGCAGGUUGAAGAUCAGGUAACACUGAUUGGAGGACCGAACCCACUUAUGUUGAAAAAUGAGGGGAUGACUUGUGGCUAGGAGUGAAAGGCUAAUCAAACUCGGAGAUAGCUGGUUCUCCUCGAAAGCUAUUUAGGUAGCGCCUCGUGUAUCACCCUGGGGGGUAGAGCACUGUUUGGGCUAGGGGGUCAUCCCGACUUACCAACCCCAUGCAAACUCCGAAUACCCAGGAGUGCGAUCACGGGAGACACACGGCGGGUGCUAACGUCCGUCGUGGAGAGGGCAACAACCCAGACCGCCAGCUAAGGUCCCAAAGUUACAGUUAAGUGGGAAACGAUGUGGGAAGGCUUAGACAGCUAGGAGGUUGGCUUAGAAGCAGCCAUCCUUUAAAGAAAGCGUAAUAGCUCACUAGUCGAGUCGGCCUGCGCGGAAGAUUUAACGGGGCUCAAACUGUACACCGAAGCUGCGGAUAUCUUUUAGAUAUGGUAGAGGAGCGUUCUGUAAGCUGAUGAAGCUCAAUUGAGAAGUUGGGUGGAGGUAUCAGAAGUGCGAAUGC
rnacentral:rRNA from 1 species